rnacentral:rRNA from 1 species
UGGGGAAUUUUGGACAAUGGGCGAAAGCCUGAUCCAGCAAUGCCGCGUGUGUGAAGAAGGCCUUCGGGUUGUAAAGCACUUUUGUCCGGAAAGAAAUCCUUGGCUCUAAUACAGUCGGGGGAUGACGGUACCGGAAGAAUAAGCACCGGCUAACUACGUGCCAGCAGCCGCGGUAAUACGUAGGGUGCAAGCGUUAAUCGGAAUUACUGGGCGUAAAGCGUGCGCAGGCGGUUUGCUAAGACCGAUGUGAAAUCCCCGGGCUCAACCUGGGAACUGCAUUGGUGACUGGCAGGCUAGAGUAUGGCAGAGGGGGGUAGAAUUCCACGUGUAGCAGUGAAAUGCGUAGAGAUGUGGAGGAAUACCGAUGGCGAAGGCAGCCCCCUGGGCCAAAUACUGACGCUCAUGCACGAAAGCGUGGGGAGCAAACAGGAUUAGAUACCCUGGUAGUCCACGCCCUAAAACGAUGUCAACUAGUUGUUGGGGAUUCAUUUCCUUAGUAACGUAGCUAACGCGUGAAGUUGACCGCCUGGGGAGUACGGUCGCAAGAUUAAAACUUAAAUGAAUUGACGGGGUCAUAGCUGUUUCCU